GGGAGGAAGCGGGGCCCUUUCUGCUGUGGGGCCUGCCCCUGGAUCUGCGAAUGCCUUGGGCGUGAAAGACCGCACCAAGUGAAAGGGCCCGAGGAUUUUGCUGGUUAGCAGGAGAGUUUGUGGGGAAAGAAGCUGCCUGGGGAAUGACACUGUCCCCUCCACAACAGUCCGAGGUUAUGCGUCUCAAUGAUCCCGUGGAAACGCUACAGGUCUAAGAACACGGAUCAGGGUGUCUACCUGGGUCUCUCAAAGACACAGGUCCUGUCCCCUGCAACUGCUGGUAGGUCCUGUCCCCUGCAACUGCAUCGCCCCUCUGCCCCCCUCAGUGGCCCUGGUCCCUCCCCUUCCGGACACCAUGUCCUGCAGGGAUCGGACCCAGGAGUUCCUGUCUGCCUGCAAGUCGCUGCAGAGCCAUCAGAAUGGAAUCCAAACAAAUAACCCUGCUCUACGUGCGGUCGGACAGCGCAGUGAAUUCACUGUCAUGGCUAAGCGCAUUGGCAAAGACCUUAGCAACACAUUUGCCAAGCUGGAGAAGCUGACAAUCUUGGCAAAGCGCAAGUCCCUCUUUGAUGAUACAGCAGUGGAAAUUGAAGAACUAACAUAUAUCAUCAAACAGGACAUCAAUAGCCUCAACAAACAAAUUGCUCAACUUCAGGAUUUCGUGAGAGCCAAGGGCAGCCAGAGUGGCCGGCACCUGCAAACACAUUCCAACACCAUUGUGGUCUCUUUGCAGUCAAAACUGGCUUCCAUGUCCAAUGACUUCAAAUCAGUUUUAGAAGUGAGGACAGAGAACCUGAAGCAGCAGAGGAGUCGGAGGGAGCAGUUCUCUCGGGCGCCUGUAUCAGCCUUGACUCUCGCCCCCAACCACCUGGGGGGUGGCGCUGUGGUUUUGGGGGCAGAGUCCCGUGCCUCCAGGGAUGUGGCCAUUGACAUGAUGGAUUCUCGGACCAGCCAGCAGCUGCAGCUCAUUGAUGAGCAGGAUUCCUACAUUCAGAGUCGUGCAGACACCAUGCAAAACAUUGAGUCUACAAUUGUUGAGCUGGGCUCCAUCUUUCAACAGUUGGCACACAUGGUUAAGGAACAGGUAGAAACCAUUCAGAGGAUCGACGAGAACGUGCUAGGAGCCCAGCUGGAUGUUGAGGCCGCCCAUUCAGAGAUCCUCAAGUACUUCCAGUCAGUCACCUCCAACCGGUGGCUCAUGGUCAAAAUCUUCCUCAUCCUCAUUGUCUUCAUCAUCUUUGUGGUCUUCCUUGCCUGAACCCUAUUCACUCUGAGGCACUCCGUGGGGGGUUGGAGCCCUCCUGGAAAGGCAGGUGGCCACUACUGCCACUGAGCCUGUGCAGGGUACUUGGAAGAAAGGCCCUGUUUCCCUGGAACCGCUAGGAAUGGCCACUGCCCCAAUCUCCCACUCCUUGCCUCUGGCCAUCCUGUCCUCCCUCACCACCCUCAGGCCCAUGAAACACACAAAGUUCUGGAUUUCAACUCUUCUGUGAAGUGGCUGGAAGAGAGCAGAGGCCAGCUGGGGGCCAGUAGGGGAGGUUGUCUCCACUAGGAAAUUUCUAUAAAUCCUCCAGCCUGUCCGGAAGGAAACUUUGCAGCAAGGAGAAAUGAUGCCCUUGCCCCCUUCCUUUGAGUGAGGAGAGGAAGCAAAACUGGCCCAGGGACCAACUUUCCCAUCUGGGUUAUAACUUGACCUCUUUUCUUCUUCCGCUUUUUACCAUGUGAGGCAGGGGGGCCUGAGCCCUUCAGCUGCUGCCUGCACAACCCUUGACACUGGCUGCUGGUGACUCAAUCUGCCAAAUAUACUGCAGCCCAUUUUCUCCCAAUUACAGCAAGACUGUCAGCCUCGCUAGCCAUGUCAUCAUUUCUUGGUGGUUGCAUCGAAGGGCCUAGGCAGCAAGUGGAGUGAGCCCACUGCCCAGUACAAGAACUGAAAGGGUUGGGCUAAUUGCUCUCAGGGACCCCACUGCUGACCAAGUCAGCUUUGGGCUCUGUACACACAGCUGCCCCCAAAUGGGAUAACCCAAGUUCAACAACACCUCAUUAGUGUGGAAACUUCCUUGCAAAUGCGGGAUCCCAUCAGAGUGAGUCCCUGAUUGAUGGCAACUUUCAAGACUAUCUCAAGUGGUGUUUGGACCCAUUUCAUCUGUAUUCUCUAACCAAUUGGCCCUAAUUUUUCCUUAAGCCAAGUGAGGCAAGAGCUCUGCCUACUGCCAGGAAAAGAAGGGAAAGUGAAGAAUUUGUUCCCCGUUCAUCUGAGGCUCUUGGUUCCAUCUAAGUCCCUCACCAAAUCCAAGCCAGUAACAGAAGAGUGGAGGAGAGACCUGCCUGGUAUACCCUUUCCCCAGGGAGAUUAACAUGUUUCUUUGUCCUUCCUGAUCAGAACCCACAGAUUCACCAUUCUGAGGUCACUUGAAUCCACCUACCUCACACAUACCAAGGGAUGUUCAAUCUAGAGAACAAUUACUGUUCUCCAGAGCUGGUCUUGAGUGUGUGUGUGUGGGGGAAGGGGGGGCGUGUCUCGGAGAGUCCAUAGCUUCAGCAUUUUAUAAUUUCCUAUUUCCUUGGUGCCUCUUCAGCAACUGGUCUACAACUACUGGCAUCUCUGCUCCAUUAACACAGGAUGGGUUGGGUCUGUGAAGAUAAUGCUGGUCAAAGCCCUGACAGAUGCCAUUUCUUUUUCUUUUUUUUAGAGAGAGUUUCAUUUUGUUGCCCUUGGUAGAGUGCUGUGGCGUCACAGCUGACAGCAACCUCCAGCUUUUGGGCUUAGGCAAUUCUUUUGCCUCAGCCUCCUGAGUAGCUGGGACUACCAUAACGCCCAGCUAUUUUUUUGUUGCAGUUUCGCUGGGGUCGGGUUCAAACCCACCCCUCUGGGUACAUGGGGUCUGCACCCUACUCGCUGAGCCACAGGCACCGCCCAACAGAUGCCAUUUCAUUUGACUCCCCAACUCUUG